GCUGCAAGUAGGGUAGCCUACUUAGUUUUACCACAAAGUAUGUAGGCCAACUUGCUCUGCAUGAAGAGAAGGCUGAAAUAUGAGAGCACAGUAUGUGGAUUCAUGAGAUUUUGCGGGCGAGGAAACACCUCGGCGAAAAGAAAAGGCCGCGCUUUUUUCCACGUUCCAACCGCGUGCACUCUUCCAGCUCAACUCGCCCAUGGGUCUAUUCCACCAUCGCUCGUCUCAACUCUAUGGACACUAAACUCACACUCUGGAGGCAGCUCUUUCACUGAGGGCUCACGUUUUUGUGGAUGACAUUGAUGCUGGACGGGAAUGUGUCAUCAAAGGACUCUGCAUCUACCUCAAUGAGGAUCCUUAUCAUGUUGUGCAGGAGUAUGUGGAAAUGGCUGAGACCCAUUUCUUCAGUGCUGUACACGACACGUACAUGACUACGGGAGGAUCUUUGUUGUUAAAGACACUGUCAACAGCGAACCCUCUGCAUCGGAAUAGUCAUCGAAGGUGGUGUGGUGGCACUUUGAGAUCUUGAGAAUGUAGCUAUUGCGUCUGCAAUGUUGUUUGGA